rnacentral:rRNA from 1 species
CAGCAGCCGCGGGAAUACGUAGGGUGCGAGCGUUAAUCGGAAUUACUGGGCGUAAAGCGUGCGCAGGCGGUUUGUUAAGACAGAUGUGAAAUCCCCGGGCUUAACCUGGGAACUGCAUUUGUGACUGGCCGGCUAGAGUAUGGCAGAGGGAGGUGGAAUUCCACGUGUAGCAGUGAAAUGCGUAGAUAUGUGGAGGAACACCGAUGGCGAAGGCAGCCUCCUGGGCCAAUACUGACGCUCAUGCACGAAAGCGUGGGGAGCAAACAGGAUUAGAUACCCCCGUAGUCCCUGUCUCUUAUAC